rnacentral:rRNA from 1 species
CCUACGGGAGCGCAGCAGUGGGGAAUAUUGGACAAUGGGCGAAAGCCUGAUCCAGCCAUGCCGCGUGUGUGAAGAAGGCCUUCGGGUUGUAAAGCACUUUCAGUGGGGAAGAAAGCCUUGGGGCUAAUACCCUCGAGGAAGGACAUCACCCACAGAAGAAGCACCGGCUAACUCCGUGCCAGCAGCCGCGGUAAUACGGAGGGUGCGAGCGUUAAUCGGAAUUACUGGGCGUAAAGCGCGCGUAGGCGGUCUGAUAAGCCGGUUGUGAAAGCCCCGGGCUCAACCUGGGAACGGCAUCCGGAACUGUCAGGCUAGAGUGCAGGAGAGGAAGGUAGAAUUCCCGGUGUAGCGGUGAAAUGCGUAGAGAUCGGGAGGAAUACCAGUGGCGAAGGCGGCCUUCUGGACUGACACUGACGCUGAGGUGCGAAAGCGUGGGUAGCAAACAGGAUUAGAUACCCGAGUAGUC